GUUGAUUAUAUGACAAAAGAGAAACUGGGAGGGUAAGAAGAAUGUAAAAUGUCAAAUAAAAUUAAAAAUGCCUAGCACUUUACUACAGGGGUAAAAACUAAUUACUGGCAGGAGAAAAUGUGUGUGGCCAGAAGGGUGACGUGUCUCUUGAGCUCCCCUCGCAGGACACCACCAACAGGUCUGAUGUAUCCUGGAUUUAAUCACUAGGGCUAGCCUGGGGCCAGAUCUAGGCAGCUUAAUAGAACUCCUUGAUGAUGAACAGGUUACAAAAAUAAGCACUAAAUUUCAGUUGAGAAAAGCUCCAGUGAUGUGGGACAUAGACAUCCCCAAUCUCUCUCGUGAGGAAGGGCCUCAGGAUUGUGGAAAGAUCAUGGAGGGAGUAAAAGGUCAGUGAUAUCUGCUUUGCACAUUGUAAGCUGUUUAAAAAGUUAUUUUACAUUCUGUUCACAGCUGUUUUGAUGAGGCUGUAGCUUAUAUUCUCUACAAAAAAAAAAAACUAAUUCAAAACUUUGUGCUUUGGUAAAACCAAUCCCCAGAACAGGUUGUCUUGCCUUACAGAUUGGAGAGAGACUGUGAGGGAGGGAUGGGGUAGGGCAGACAGCAGCA
rnacentral:lncRNA from 1 species